UACGUAGGGGGGCUAGCGUUGUCCGGAAUCAUUGGGCGUAAAGCGCGUGUAGGCGGUCCGGUAAGUCCGCUGUGAAAGUCGGGGGGCUCAACCUCGGAUGCCGGUGGAUACUGUCGGGCUUGAGUACGGAAGAGGCGAGUGGAAUUCCUGGUGUAGCGGUGAAAUGCGCAGAUAUCAGGAGGAACACCAAUUGCGAAGGCAGCUCGCUGGGACGU
rnacentral:rRNA from 1 species